GUUCCUGAUGUCACACUGCCGAGAAAAGCUUCUAGUGAGAAAACACCGACCCGUACCGCAAACCGACACAGGUAGUCGAGGAGAGAAUCCUAAGGUGAGCGAGAGAACUCUCGUUAAGGAACUCGGCAAAAUGACCCCGUAACUUCGGGAGAAGGGGUGCUGAUCUAAGAUCAGCCGCAGUGAAUAGGCCCAAGCGACUGUUUAUCAAAAACACAGGUCUCUGCAAAAUCGUAAGAUGAAGUAUAGGGGCUGACGCCUGCCCGGUGCUGGAAGGUUAAGAGGAGUGCUUAGCGUAUGCGAAGGUACGAAUUGAAGCCCCAGUAAACGGCGGCCGUAACUAUAACGGUCCUAAGGUAGCGAAAUUCCUUGUCGGGUAAGUUCCGACCCGCACGAAAGGCGUAACGAUUUGGGCACUGUCUCAACGAGAGACUCGGUGAAAUUUUAGUACCUGUGAAGAUGCAGGUUACCCGCGACAGGACGGAAAG
rnacentral:rRNA from 1 species